ACCUAGUGUAUGAUUUGGAAAGAAGAAUAGAGUGGCCCCUGCACAAAGAUGACAUGAAAAUUCCUGAAGUGCUACGUAUUUUU
rnacentral:snRNA from 1 species